rnacentral:rRNA from 1 species
UACGUAGGUGGCAAGCGUUGUCCGGAUUUAUUGGGGUUAAAGGGUGCGUAGGCGGUUCCAUAAGUCAGUGGUGAAAUACGGCAGCUCAACUGUCGAGGUGCCAUUGAUACUGCGGAACUUGAGUACUGAUGAGGUAGGCGGAAUUGACGGUGUAGCGGUGAAAUGCUUAGAUAUCGUCAAGAACACCGAUAGCGAAGGCAGCUUACCAAGCAGUAACUGACGCUGAGGCACGAAAGUGCGGGGAUCAAACAGG